rnacentral:rRNA from 1 species
GGUGAACGCUGGCGGCGUGCUUAAGACAUGCAAGUCGUACGGCAGUCUUCGGACUGUAGUGGCGCACGGGUGAGUAACGCGUAACUGACCUACCCCAAAGUCGCGGAUAACGAUUCGAAAGAAUCGCUAAUACGUGAUGUGCUGUCAGAUUGUGUUCUGCCAGUAAAGAUUGAUUGCUUUGGGAUGGGGUUGCGUUCCAUCAGCUAGUUGGUGGGGUAAAGGCCCACCAAGGCGACGACGGAUAGCCGGCCUGAGAGGGUGGCCGGCCACAGGGGCACUGAGACACGGGUCCCACUCCUACGGGAGGCAGCAGUUAGGAAUCUUCCACAAUGGGCGAAAGCCUGAUGGAGCGACGCCGCGUGAGGGAUGAAGGUCUUCGGAUCGUAAACCUCUGAAUCAGGGACGAAAGACACCUCGGUGGGAUGACGGUACCUGAGUAAUAGCACCGGCUAACUCCGUGCCAGCCGCCGCGGUAAAAC